rnacentral:lncRNA from 1 species
GAAGGGUCAGAUUUUGGUUUUGGCGCUUUAUAGAUAGACUAGAAAGUAGGUUUAAGGCAUUGUUUGCGGAUAGAAUAUGGUCUUGCAGCUUCACACAAUUCAUUCACAUCGAGGGAGUAGAUCCUCUGUGGUACUUAAAAAGUACCGCAGGAUGCUGUACAUCCUUCGAAAAUGUCCAUCAAAAGAUGAGUAGAGUAGAUCCUCUGUGGUAUUUAAAA